rnacentral:rRNA from 1 species
GAUGAACGCUGGCGGCGUGCCUAAUACAUGCAAGUCGAGCGAACAGACGAGGAGCUUGCUCCUCUGAUGUUAGCGGCGGACGGGUGAGUAACACGUGGAUAACCUACCUAUAAGACUGGGAUAACUUCGGGAAUCCGGAGCUAAUACCGGAUAACAUGUUGAACCGCAUGGUUCAACAGUGAAAGACGGUCUUGCUGUCACUUAUAGAUGGAUCCGCGCCGCAUUAGCUAGUUGGUAAGGUAACGGCUUACCAAGGCAACGAUGCGUAGCCGACCUGAGAGGGUGAUCGGCCACACUGGAACUGAGACACGGUCCAGACUCCUACGGGAGGCAGCAGUAGGGAAUCGUCCGCAAUGGGCGGAAGCCUGACGGAGCGACGCCGCGUGAGUGAAGAAGGUCUUCGGAUCGUAAAGCUCUGUUAUUAGGGAAGAACAAAUGUGUAAGUAACUAUGCACGUCUUGACGGUACCUAAUCAGAAAGCCACGGCUAACUACGUG